UCAGCUCGCUCGACGGUAUGACGGUGGUGUCCGAGUGGCGGUUAACGCGCGUCUUAGGACGCGUAUUACUCUCUCGGUGCCGGUCUGCGACGAUUCUUCGGGCCUCUUUCCGACCCGUCUUGAAACACGGACCAAGGAGUCUAACGUGUGCGCGAGUCGCGGGGUGUCGUCGACGGAGGAGGCGGCGUCGCGUUUCGGCGCGACGUCGCCGCAAGCGUCGACGUUAUUCGAACGAAACCCGAAGAAGGCGUAAUGAAAGUGAAUUUUGGGAGGAUGGCGCCUCGAGUACACCUUCUGGGCGAUUAAGCCGAGACCGAGUGCCCGCACUCCCGGGGCGUCCCGCUAAGUCCGGCCGGUAUUUACGGGGGCGACGCGUUCGCGCGUCGUCCUCGAUUGCCGCCGAACUGGGGCGCACUCUUAGCGUACACGUUGGUACCCGAAAGAUGGUGAACUAUGCCCGGCCAGGAUGAAGUCAGGGGAAACCCUGAUGGAGGUCCGCAGCGAUUCUGACGUGCAAAUCGAUCGUC
rnacentral:rRNA from 1 species